CAAAAUGUAACUUAAUAAAAGUCCCAUGCCUACACCAUGAGUAUAUCUAUGUAAUCUAGAUCAUUUUGAG
rnacentral:tRNA from 1 species